GUCCACGCUGUAAAUGAUGGGUACUAGGUGUCGGGGGUUCGACCCUCUCGGUGCCGCAGCUAACGUGUUAAGUACCCCGCCUGGGGACUACGAUCGCAAGAUUAAAACUCAAAGGAAUUGACGGGUCCCCGCACAAGCGGUGGAGCAUGUGGUUUAAUUCGAUGCUACGCGAAGAACCUUACCUGGGUUUGACAUUCUGCCUAAUCUCCGUGAAAGCGGAGGUGCCGCAAGGCGAGGUAGAACAGGUGCUGCAUGGCUGUCGU
rnacentral:rRNA from 1 species